ACCAGGGAAGAAGCGGCACCAGUCCCAUGAUCUUCCCGGAGGGGUGAAAUGAGAACACAUGAGCAGAUGUUGUCCAGGUGUCUGAAUGCCUCCAUUGGGGUACCUCCAUUUCCAAUAGUCUAUUUCCUCAAUUCCUGGGCUGAGGUGUUAACAGUCUUCAUUGAAUGAAUUUCCAUGAACAUCUUUUUUUGAUGAUCAUUGUGUGCAGAUAUCUUAAUUGAAACUGUGAGAAGCUCUGCCCAUGAUAAAGGACACAACAGAAUCUGAUCAUGUGAACACAAGUGAAGGACACGGUGGGGACUUGCCACUCAGGUAAUUUUGGAAUUUUUUUCUCUUCAUAACGUAAGUUUCAGUGCAUGUUUUCUAUGAUAAAUGUGUCACCUCUUAGAGUUCAGGAUAUUUAUACCCAGGGCACACCUAAAGGGA